CCAGCAACCAUGUCCGACACAACGCCCAAGCAGAGCAGCUCCUUGUCCGGUAGGCCAUCAAGGGGGUCAUAUGCUCCUAUCUGCUUUCUAACUUGCAUCGCAUGCAACACGCAACGCGCGACGCACAACACGCAACGCCGAAUAUAUAAAAGGCUAUGCCAUUUGACUCAUCCCUUCUGACAAUGAGAAAUAAAAUGAUGAUGCGCAAGACGUCAAACCCAGGAAACGAUCUAUUUAGACUAAAACGCUGGAGACAUUUAUGCUUGGGAACCGGUAGUAUUUGAUAGAUCUGAAUCUCAGGAGCAUUUUUAUACCAAAAUAUGUGCUGGGCCCGACUUGUGGAAUGAGAUACGGACGUUUGCAUCCUACAUAUAUGUCGAGCGGAAGGAACAAAAGAUGAAGUUAAACAGUGGCUAAACGAG
rnacentral:sRNA from 1 species